CGGUACAUCGGUGACAGGUGGUGCAUGGUUGUCGUCAGCUCGUGUCGUGAGAUGUGGUUAAGUCCCGCAACGAGCGCAACCCCUAUUGUUAGUUGCCAUCAUUCAGUUGGGCACUCUAGCGAGACUGCCGGUAAUAAACCGGAGGAAGGUGGGGAUGACGUCAAAUCAUCAUGCCCCUUAUGACCUGGGCUACACACGUGCUACAAUGGUUGGUACAACGAGUUGCGAGUCGGUGACGGCGAGCUAAUCUCUUAAAGCCAAUCUCAGUUCGGAUUGUAGGCUGCAACUCGCCUACAUGAAGUCGGAAUCGCUAGUAAUCGCGGAUCAGCACGCCGCGGUCGAAUACGUUCCCGGGCCUU
rnacentral:rRNA from 1 species